rnacentral:misc_RNA from 1 species
GCAUCGAUGAAGAACGCAGCGAAAUGCGAUACCUGGUGUGAAUUGCAGAAUCCCGCGAACCAUCGAGUCUUUGAACGCAAGUUGCGCCCGAGGCCACUCGGCCGAGGGCACGCCUGCCUGGGCGUCACGCCAAAACACGCUCCCAACCACCCUCAACGGGAUUCGGGAUGCGGCAUCUGGUCCCUCGUCUCUCAAGGGACGGUGGACCGAAGAUUGGGCUGCCGGCGUACCGCGCCGGACACAGCGCAUGGUGGGCGUCCUCGCUUUAUCAAUGCAGUGCAUCCGGCGCGCAGCUGGCAUUAUGGCCUUUGAACGACCCAACAAACGAAGCGCACGUCGCUUCGACCGCGACCCCAGGUCAGGCGGGACUACCCGCUGAGUUUAAGCAUAUCAAUAAGCG